ACAAAGAAUACAUAGCCCAUUGUUGACCUUCAAUCGUUUGCAUCUCUCUUGGUUCUAAGCACCCACUUACAUCCAAUUGUUGUGGAAAGAUGUGGUUCUUUCACCAUUCACCUUGUGGUCUUCUCUCACGUGUUGGAUAUCUUCUUUCAUACAAAGAAGAUGAGCCUUCUUGCACCUCUUGCUGCCUUGUAUGACUCAUGGAGUGCUUUCUCUUACUCAUUUGUUGGUAUUCUUCAUCUUCAUUCUCUUCAUUG
rnacentral:lncRNA from 1 species